AUAAGUAAUUUACAUACCUUUUAAACUCAAACAAAUUUCCUGUCAUGUAUCCUCAAGAAGAUUACUCGGUAUCUUAAACCGCCCACGUCAAUUACCGCCACGAAAAUCUUGGCUCGUGAUCUCUCUCCUGGGCUCCAUUUUUCGUCACGUGUCAAUGGUGCGCACGCUCCUUUCGCAUUAACGCGCAUGUCAGUUCAAUGGAGAUUAAUUGCUUACCCACAACCGGCUGCAAUUACAACUGAUCGCGAUUCGUACAUUUUUACACGAAUCGGCACGAUGGAGCGCACGUGGAAACGGGCUUUAAAGGAACUCGAUAUGGUUGGAUGCUCGUACGAAAUACUGGACGAAAUAAUGAUGCCGUGAAACGAAGUGUGAUCUUUGGUAGCUCCCAGAAAUCUCGUGUAUAUAAAUUAACGAUGGAAUUCGAUUAUGUGAGCGCAUAUACGUUUAAAGUAAAAUAUGGAUGAGAGAUUGAUGGAAAUGACGUUCGCAUCGUUCGAAAUACUUCGCGCUUACAAUGUUAAAUUAUGUGAAUAAUACAUUUUUCGUAUUAUUAUUGUUGUUCUUUGCCAUUUAUGAAGCAGUAUACAAAUACAUUUUCUGUUGAAACGAGCCUCGUGUUCUCUGUAUCCGCAAAGAUCGAACAGAAGCCGGAUUAUCGCCUCGAUCGCGAUCGUUGCCUGUGACUGGAAUCGCCGACUGUUCGAACAAAAGCAUUGCAAACGGAUAAAUCUUUGUGGAAACACGAUUCCAAGUACCUUUUGUUCCUCCCUCGUUCAGAAAUUAAUUUAAAAUUGAUACGGUUUGGAAGCAUAAAUCCUGUUAUUGUUAAUAAUACGUUACAAAUGACGUGGAGAUAUUAUAAUUAUCUGUGAUGGAGAUCGCGUGUCAUAAAAAUCUAGGAAGAAAUGAAACUUAGCCCGGAAUCUUAAUUAAACCGUCACUGGUGUGAAAAUAAUUGGUGAAUUUACUAUUCCUUUGAUGUCAGAUAACAGAUUUCUCCUAAUUAAGCUUGACUUACGCCAACGAUAUUUGUCCAUCGAUUCUGUAAAACCUAGAAUUAAAACUGAUACUUUCAAAACGAUACGAAACAAAGCAUUUCAUACAAUUCAAAUAAUUUUAAAAAAAAUUU